rfam:Schistosoma mattheei strain Denwood, Zambia genome assembly, scaffold: SMTD_scaffold0006248
AUCCAACUGACAAGUCCUGAAUAGGACGAAACGUUUGUAUUGGAU